GACGAACCGUGCGAACGUUAUUCGGAAUCACUGGGCUUAAAGCGCGUGUAGGCGGGCCGGCACGUCGGUCGCUGAAAUCCCCCGGCUCAACCGGGGAAGGGCGUCGAUACGACCGGCCUGGAGGGGGGUAGGGGGCGCCGGAACUUCCGGUGGAGCGGUGAAAUGCGUUGAGAUCGGAAGGAACGCCCGUAGCGAAAGCGGGCGCCUGGACCCCACCUGACGCUGAGACGCGAAAGCCAGGGGAGCGAACGGG
rnacentral:rRNA from 1 species